GGUCCGACUCCCCCGUGAGCGAGCUCUCAUCGAUCUUCAGAUCAUUGCCCUGGAUGAGGACUCCGUCAGCAGGCAAGAGGUCACCUGAAAAGCACACAAACAGCCUCCUGUUGAAUCACUUCCUUCCUCCGGUUUUCAGCCUUACCAUCCCAUCUUUUCCUCAAUCUCCCCGAGACGUUGCCCCCGCUUCUCGUUUAUGUAGGUCACAGCCCAGAGAGACGACAGAAAAGCUCCAAGGCGGUUUUUCUGGCAGGGCGGCAGGGCGGCAGCGGCGGCGGUGGCAGUGGUGUUAGUGGUGGAAGGGGAGAGCAUUGGGAGCAUCGGUUCCGGAGCCAUGUGGCAUUGUACCUGCUCAUCCAUAAUGGAUGAGGGCCAGCAAUAAUGGAUGAGGCUGGAUGUGCAGAUCUAUGAAGCUAUCGAUGCAGCGUGUGCACAUCAGCUCAACUACAACUCUGCACAGACGGUGUUAUACUACUCUAUGCUACACAAUGGUCAGCUCAGUAGAGAGCACUCUGUGAUAAUGAGCUGCUCCACUUUCAUGACAGAUGGAAAAUGUGCAGCAUGCCACGCUCCGCUCCUCCCUUCCCUUCUCCACUCCACUUCGUCCAGUUUGCCUGACCAUCCGGCCGCUUGCCCGCCCGCCGGCCCCGAAAACGCCGCCACCACCGCCGGCACAGCUUCGAUAUCAAAUGAUGGGGAUGCGGCAAAACGAGAGGAGGAGCUGCCGUGGAGUUGAGGCAGUGGAAAAAGCGUCUCACCCACUUCAUCAAUAUUGCAGCCUCACCUGGUGAAAGCUAACACCGGCUAACAUAUUCCAUCAUGUCACUGGAAGAGAGGAUCAGAUGCCUUGGCUUGACAUGCCAACAUUGUUACCUGUACAAAUGAUGACGCAAAGCUCGAUCCAUUAUUCAUGGUCCCUUUAAAGGAGCAGGAGAAGUUUGGAGGCAUUGGAAAACGGAGUGUGUUCAAGAGUGCGAUUAUCUACAAGGAGGUCACGGUUAUUCUUUGAGGCUGAAAAAGGUGAGAACCGGCGGGAAGGUGAAGAACGAGAGCUCCUCCUGGCGCAACAAGGCUGGCAAGAUUAAACCGAUCUUAAGAUGUAUGCAUGAUGUUCUUCACAGGUAAUAAAGUUGCAAAUAUAAAGAACACACAUGCAGCAAUUGAGUAAAAGAACUCAAACAUAUGCACAUCUUUACACUAUUGAUUCAUGUAUUGGGGCCUUUAAAUCUCUCUGCCUACAAUGCACAGAAUGAGCUGUAAUAACAAACAUGAUGCAGGUUACUUUAUCUGCAUGAAUUUUACAUGAAGUUAUAAUUUUUGCAAGAUCUUGCACUACUUGUUUUCAUUCUUUUCCUCAAUCCUCAGUGCUUUCCUUUGGCAAACAAGAACCAGUGGGCUGUAAUGUUUAUCAAGUGUAGCUGAAUUAUGUUGGUCCUACAUAAAAAUUGAACUGUACUGAUUUGUCAUAGAUUAUGUCAACACGUGGACGAAGGAACAAACUUGGUGCUAGCACCUGUUGGAGGUUAGAAACUCAAAACUUUACAGAUUUUAAGUGAACAAAUAACCUUCACAGUAGCUGGCAAAGAGACGACCCAGCACGUCUAACUGUUUUUAAUCAACCUUCCUAUUAUUAGUCACUCAGACCAAUACUGCAGCUCUGUGGAACAAUGAAGGAAACCUGAGCGCCGCUUUAAACAGACUCACGUUCGUGAUAUUCUGUUGUUGAAGCUGCUCCUCUCAGCUCUGCUAUCUGCAGCUUAUCUCAUUGGUCAGUGGGCGAGUGCUGUCAUCGCAGACUGUAUGCAUGGGAUCGCGUGUGUGUAUAUGUGUGUGUUCGUGUGUGGGGUGUGUAACACAGUCUGGCUGAGGUCAGGGUUGGUGCACAUUUAAUCUGCUCUCUGUUUCCAGGCCACUCCAAGGACUUUGACACAUCACUUCUGUAUCUAUUAUUCACAAGUGGAUAGAGACUUUCAAAUAGUGUGUGCAUGCGCACAUGUGUGUCUGUGCAACAAAUUGUCCUUCAGUAGCACAAUGCGGCUCAAAAUUAGAAUUUUUUUGUAGCUAUAAUAUCAACCCUAUUGCAUAAUCACAGAAUUUCUACCACAUACAAACUUGCACUCGCACACGGGCACACUGUGCUCCCACUCCAGUUGCACAACCCCUGAAUUUUAGGGAUAGAAUGGCCUGGUUUCAUAAGCAGUCUGCUGCCUACUGGCAGCUGUGCUGUCAGAUGAGGUCAUUACUUGGGGCGGGCCACAAGCACAGACAGGGCAGAACGCUGGACACAAUGGUAAAAAACCACAGAGUGUGAAUGAGAAUGACAGCCAGGGGCGACCCCGGAGCUGCGGUGAUCCUGUCUGGGGAGGUUGUAGGGCAUUUGUAUUGUUUCUGUUUUGAGUCGUGUUACCUCGCUGGUGGUGCAGCCAUGCAUUGAAGUAAACAGGGAACAGAGGAGAUGAAUGAUGCUUGUGUGUUGGUGUGUGAGCGCAGGCUGGUAUUACUAUCAGCUCAGUGCCAGGGUCGAGUGAAUGGCCUCAGUGUUAUCUCUGGAGCACAGCUUGUUUACCCUAAUGAACACAACUCCAACUCCACUACAGCCAAUUGUAAAGAGGGGCAUUUACCUAUUGGCAUUGCCCCAAAGAGAAAAACAUGAAAUAAAAAAAAAAAUCACUGUGGAUAUGAAUAUACAUGAGAACAAUGUCAUAUCUGCUCACUGAAGUACAGUUCUGUGGAUACUUACAUGCCUCCUUAAACAAACACUAAUAACUGGCAGACACUGAUGGCUCUUUUCAACUCCCCAUUGUUUAACAGAGGUAAUUUUCUGCCUUUCUGAUAACUUGCUCAUCAGGACAUGCAGAGCUGCAAAGUGCUGCACUGUCAGCUGAGCCACUUAAUUUGACAUCCGUACCGGGAAACGCUUUCAGCUCUUUCCAUGAAAGUAAAGACUUAAUUUAAUGUCAAUAUUCAACAUGUCCCUGAAGAAGACUUGCUCUAAUACUGCAGGGGAGUAGAGCACUCAAAUCGUUUCAUCCAGUAGCUAAAGCUUCUUUAAAUCCCUCCAAACAUGAAUUUUUGACCAAUAGGAAAAUAGUUAAUAUGAUGGGAGUAAAACGCUACUCCAUCCAAUGGUCGAGCACCUCAGUUGUUUACCCAAAUCUCUGAAAUCCCUCCGUGAAUGUUUAUUCAGCCAAUGCGAGGGCAGUAGCCCUGGUGCACAAGGACGAAUGGCUGCCUGCGGGUCUAUGGUGAUGCUGUGCUGCAUAAGGCUGUGCCAUGGCGUGCGUGUGACCAUUACAUCAUGGCUAGUUCUUGACCAGUCUGCACCACACACAAUCACGUGACCUCCUGCUGACAUCUCAGGAGCACCGCUGUGCUGAUCUGAUCAUGACUUUUGCGGUGAGACGAUUUCCUACCGGCAUCCUGCUGUGAGUGUGUCUUAAUCCCUCUGUGCAGUAGGUUGUUUUGAAGAAGCGACUACAGAGCGUGACGGAUGUGUACAAGUGUGCACACGCCUCAUUGCCUGCGUGUAAAUGUGACUGUUUAGCUGCGACUGUUGUCCGUAUUCCUUCUUUUUGUGGAUUGUUUUCUAUGUCACCUCUUUAACCUCUAGCUUCCCCACCCCUCCUCCACUCUGCACCCCACUAAAGCCGCUUUGAGCUCUUUGCUCUGACAUCACCAUAGUCAUCAUCAGUAGGCAUGGGCCAGACCAUUAUGUGAGUAACCAGGGGGAGAUUACACACGAAUCAAAGCUUUUUAGUCCAGCCUUGGCACAAGACAGACUCUGGAAACCCACCAAAGGAUCAAACAAUGGUAAUUCUCUGCUUUUUUUCCGCAGCAUCUUUGUUUCAAACUCCUUGUGCAGACGGUCGAUGCUUUAGCAGACAAAAAGUGUGCCGACGUCCCUCGGGCGGAGAAGGAAUGCUCCAAAAAUCUCUACAUCAGCAGAAUGAAACUGCCACUCUCCCUCCAGCUCGCUCUCCAUCUUUUUGUUCUGAGUCGUAAGUGCGAGGUCAUGCCCCGCAGAUCUGUGCUGGACAAGAGAUAAAAUGAAAGAGACAGAAAGCGUCAAGAACAAAAACAGACAAUGUACAGAAGCCAAACUGUAUGUCCGAUAGUGUUCUUAUGUCUCGCCCUGACAGCUCUCAGGUAGUCCUGGUCUGAACUCUGUGACACUUUAGCAAAGGGGCCAGAGGUGGUCAGAGAAGUUUCCACAGGCUUAUUAAGCCGACCGUGAUACUUCAAGAACAAACUGUAAAAUAUACUGAGGUGCAAGUUGCAUGUGUUUUCACUGAAACUUAGCAACACUGUGACUACAAAGGUGAGUGUACAGGAGGUGAAAGCAACAUGUGAGGCAGCCUCCAUGUGUCUAUACAGACUUCCUCAGGCUCAGGAUGGAGUGUUGAUCAUCCUUUGAAAUGAAGGAAUAAUAAGACAAAAAAAAAAUCUGAAUAACUUGUAAAAACAUGAAUUAAAAAGUAUAAAACUAAGUGGCACAUGCACAAGCAGGCAAGGAGCUUCCUUUGGCACCGUGCUGCUACACUCUGUCACUCUGACAUGACACGGAUCUUUGAUGCAUGUCAUUCCUCUUUCUUGGUUAACUAUUUUCCUGUUUGCAUGUUGAUUGUGAGCAAUUGAACAGAGGCAAAAAAGCCCCCCAAGUCUUUAAAAAUGGAAAAGAAGAUGCCAAACACAAGUUCUCGCAGCAGAACAUAUAAAACAGCUUAGAACAGCAGUGGCUCUGUAGAUAUGAUUUAAGGGACUAAUCAAUUGAUGUUGAACUAAUAACUGUUUAAAUUUAAAAAAAUAAAUAAAUCAGUGGACAAUAAGUUUAGGAUAAAUGAUGAAUGGACUGUGAUAAUUUUUGUACUCCACAAUACAUUUUCAUGUUAAAAAGGAAACUGGAAGAUUGAACUGGAUAUUGAAAUGCCAAACUGACACGGGGAAAUGGCAAAAUGAAAAUGAAAAGUGUAAUACGAAAUCCAGAACAUAGAGAAGCUUGAUCAAAACACUUGAAAUAAAAACUAAACACACAAGGUUGAAUUGAAAUGUUUCAUGGAAAACGGGAAAUAAGACGAUAUGUAAGAAGAGAUGAAAGUGAAAAUGAAUUACUCGGACAUAGUUAUCUAUUUUUUAAUCCAUUUUCUGUGUGUAAAUGAUUUAAAAAAAAUUUAAAACAGUAUGAUGGAUUAUGUGAAAUUUUCUUUGUAUCAUUUUCCUUAAAAAAAAAUUCAAUCUAGGUGCACUUGUCCUCCAUAUAAAACAGUCAUGACUUGUGCUUGUGAGUCACUGCAUGGAAAACAAACUUGGUUGACACACUAUCAGGACACAACAACCUGUAAGAAAAUAUUUGGAAAUACUGCUUGACCAUGUAGUAGUAUCAGAGUGCAAACAUGAUGUUAAGCAAAUGUCACUAAUGCAGGUGUUCACAAAUGCUCAUGUAUACAACAGCUGCUGAGGCCACAAACACACCACUGAAGAGAUAGCGAUGCUUCACUCCCUCUUUCACUCCCAACCACAAGAGACAGAAACCCAUAAACAAGGGGCUCGGAGUUUCCACCGGACGACCACAUUCUCACACCAAGCAUCUCAAAAAUAACGUUCAGUAACAUACUGGAGAACAUUAUCUGGCCUAUUUGGGGUUUAAAGUGAGCCACUGAGUCAUUCUGCACCAUUUUUAAAAAAAAAGAAAAAAAAAAGUGGUAGUUGACCACAUGUAAAGUCUGGGGUUAGUUUUUGAGUUAAAAUUUCUAAAAGAGGUGUGGCUUCAUGUUGAUUUUUUGCACCGUUUCCUUCGUACCAGUCUGCGGAGCAAUGUUUGAUGUGCCACAACUUGAGAAAUUAUGUAGCUGAGGUAAUGAUUUUUUAAUUACUUGAAGCACUAUGAGAAGGCUGCACAGUGGCUCAGUGGCUAGCACUGACACUAGAAGAUCUCCGGUUUGCAUACCAGCCUGGGCCUGGGAUCUUUCUGCAUGGAGUUUGGAUGUUUUCUCUGUGCAUGCGUGGGUUUUCUCCAGGUAGUCUGACUUCUUCCCACAGUCCAAAACAUGCUGUUUCUACAUUGUCCGUAGGCGUGAAUGUGAGUGAGCUUGUUUGUCUCUAUGUGUGGCCCUGUGAUAGACUGGGUGUCCAAUGCCCUCACCCAAAGUCAGGUGGGAUAGGCUCCAGCUGUGACCCUAAUGAGGAUUAAGCAGUAUGUAGGUAAUGGAUGGAUGGAAGCACUAUGAGUUGGAAAACCAUGAUUUUUCUUUCAGCCCAGUAACAAUAUUAGACAGCUCUUCCAUAUGAGACAACUAUAGGAAUGGUUCCACCAUCAUACCUUCUCAAUGCAUGCUCAGAUAUGGGCCCGAAAUGCAAAAAAAACGUAAUUUUAAUAUUUAUUUUUUUUCCUCAGAGUACAGUAUGAUCUGACUGGAAUCAUACUCUGCAUUUUUAUAGCUCCUAUUGGUGCCAAUUACACGAAAUAAGUGAGCCUCUUCGAUUGGAGAUUUAUUUAUUGUCGUGCACAGAAACUAGGCGGGUACACUGUACAAUGAAUGAAAUUCUUAUUUUGGUGAUCCUCCUUAACCAAAUGACACAAUGUAUAAAAAUGUACAAAAACUAAAGCAAUUACUAAGCAAAAAAUAAGCAGACUUAAACUGACAGCAGCGGUGGUUGGUCAUAAAGUGCACUGUGCAUUUGUAAACCGGGCUUGCACAUAGUGACUAUUGCAGUAAUAAUGUGAACUGGAGUAGUAUAAAGUGCGUACUGCAACGGUAAGCAGUGUGGCUUAGGAUGAAAAAUUAAUGUUUUAUGGUUGGUGGAAUAUUGGAGUCGAAAAAUACGUGGACAUUUUUUGAUCAUAUAACUGGUUUGUAAUAUUCUAUCAAAGCAGGGUUUUGACAUUAAAGACCAUAUGUGCAUGUCAAUGUAGCGACAAAAUCUCAGGACUCAAGCUGCUAUUUCUCAAGUUUUGACACUUCAGACAUUGACACUGGUGUGAAGAAAGCGCUGCAAAAAUCAAAAUGACCCCACCCCUCUUUAAGAAUUUUGAACUCAUGUUACCUAUGAGCCCAGAUUUUCUACGUGUUGUACUUAACAUAUGUAUGCACCGUCUAUACACACACUCUUCAGCACACAUUCAUUUUUACCCUUGCAGUCCUGUAACAGAACCUUUCAAACUAAACAUUAACACCUGCUAUAUCCGAGGAAAUGGAAGCACAUCCACGAGCUAAACCGACCGACAGCGCUUUUAGCUGGCUAAAAUCCCCCCCCAUCUCCACUUGCUAAAGGACUUUCCAGGUUCCACUGUGUGUCCAGCGCUAGCUGACAUAAUGUUGUAUUAACAGAUCAUGUGGAUGGAUGAUUCACAUUCCUGCUCGGACACCCUUGGCAUGGCAUUACUACAGCUGGGAAGCCCCACUCUGGAAGCCCCUAAAUGUCCCCAGAACUUCCCCCAGCAGCAGCUCCACUUCAGCCCCUCAUUCCAGGCCGCUAAGCUGGCAGUGGGCGAAGUUAAAAAUAAACUGGCCGAGACACCACGUUGGUCCUGAUGACAUAUGUCUCCAUGGCAACCCGAGACGACAAGUCGUUGGAGGUCAAAGGUGGGAUCUUGAGAGAAUCAUGUGACCUUGGGGACUCGGAGCUGCAGAGAGCCGCGUUGGUCAGGAAAGCAGCUGCAGCAACAGCGAGGAAAAUCCCCUCUGUGGGAGAAAGAGAGCGAGGCUUCUCUCUUUCCGUCUCUGCCCUCCGCGAUCACUCACUCCAAAAUAUAAACAUGCCCUCUGCAACUGAGCUGAAGUCAUUGUGUCAUUUUGCCAACAGCGGUUUUCAGCUGGACAUUUUCAAUUAUGUAUAAUCCAAAAUGGAGGUCAGUCUCUCCUUCCCUCUUUUUUUUUUUCUUCCUCGCUGCUGAAAAUGUAUGAAAUUUCCCCGAGAGGAAAUGAAGCCCGCAAUCGUUUCUUCAUAUCAACAUUGCAAUAAAGAGCUGAAGGCCUGGGUUCUCUUCACAGCUGGUGUCUGUUUUACAUGAAUGGUACAUUCAUUUGUCUGGUCAUUCUUAAAUAAAAUAUGCAUGUUGGGUUUAGUAAUGUCUGAUUUUGUUUGAAAAAUCCUAGCCUGAAGAGUCAAUUUAAAAGCACUUAGUGCACAUAGUUGAGUACUAUGUUUUUGUGUGCUGUAAUUCAGAAUAAACUUUCUAUUUUGAGUAUUUUUAAGUUGAAAUAAAGAUGAAUUCAUAUCUUC